rnacentral:rRNA from 1 species
GAUGAACGCUGGCGGCGUGCCUAAUACAUGCAAGUCGAGCGAACAGACGAGGAGCUUGCUCCUCUGACGUUAGCGGCGAACGGGUGAGUAACACGUGGAUAACCUACCUAUAAGACUGGGAUAACUUCGGGAAACCGGAGCUAAUACCGGAUAAUAUAUUGAACCGCAUGGUUCAAUAGUGAAAGACGGUUUUGCUGUCACUUAUAGAUGGAUCCGCGCCGCAUUAGCUAGUUGGUAAGGUAACGGCUUACCAAGGCGACGAUGCGUAGCCGAUCAGAGAGGGUGAACAGCCACACUGGAACUGAGACACGGUGCAGACUCCUACGGGAGGCAGCAGUAGGGAAUCCUCCGCAAUGGGCGAAAGCCUGACGGAGCAACGCCGCGUGAGUGAUGAAGGUCUUCGGAUCGUAAAACUCUGUUAUUAGGGAAGAACAAAUGUGUAAGUAACUAUGCACGUCUUGACGGUACCUAAUCAGAAAGCCACGGCUAACUACGUGCCAGCCGCCGCAGUAA